rnacentral:rRNA from 3 species
UUUGGUGGCGAUAGCGAAGAGGUCACACCCGUUCCCAUACCGAACACGGAAGUUAAGCUCUUCAGCGCCGAUGGUAGUCGGGGGUUUCCCCCUGUGAGAGUAGGACGCCGCCAAGCAAG